AUUGAACGCUGGCGGAAUGCUUUACACAUGCAAGUCGAACGGCAGCACGGGGCAACCCUGGUGGCGAGUGGCGAACGGGUGAGUAAUACAUCGGAACAUGCCCAGUCGUGGGGGAUAACGUAGCGAAAGCUACGCUAAUACCGCAUACGAACUAUGGUUGAAAGCGGGGGACCCGUAAGGGCCUCACGCGAUUGGAGCGGCCGAUGGCAGAUUAGGUAGUUGGGGGGGUAAAGGCUCACCAAGCCGACGAUCUGUAGCUGGUCUGAGAGGACGACCAGCCACACGGGGACUGAGACACGGCCCAGACUCCUACGGGAGGCAGCAGUGGGGAAUUUUGGACAAUGGGCGCAAGCCUGAUCCAGCCAUUCCGCGUGCAGGAUGAAGGCCCUCGGGUUGUAAACUGCUUUUGUACGGAACGAAACGGUCCUGGUUAAUACCUGGGGCUAAUGACGGUACCGUAAGAAUAAGCACCGGCUAACUACGUGCCAGCCGCCGCGGUAAGAC
rnacentral:rRNA from 1 species